GCUUUCGUGGUGUAGUGGUCAGCACGCUCGACGCGUAACCGAGAGGUCCAUGGUUCGAUUCCUGGCAGAGGCG
rnacentral:tRNA from 1 species